rnacentral:tRNA from 1 species
UAAGCUUUAGUUUAUAUAGAAUUCUCAACUGUUAAUUGAGAGGAGAUUAAAAUCAAGUUUAG